CUUAUAAGUUUAUUUAUACAAGUUUUAUUAGGUUUAUGUUCCUUUUGCAUCAUGAUUAAAUGAAAUUUUUAGUUUAGACUUUUAACCGAAAACCAAGGAUUUUAUUAUUUGCUGAGUAAGCGUAGCUCAGUGGGGACCCCGGGUAGGGGCCCAUAGACAUUACUUACGUUGUGAUAAAUUAGUCGGCUUGGUUUAUAACUGUUUAACAGCUUUUAAUUUAUUAAUACUAUCGUAGCGAUGAGGUUAUGAUAGAGUAUAUACUUAUUUUUUUUGUAUUGUUAGUAUAAGGUUAAUAUUACCUAUUUUUUGAGAGUUUAUUACAAAUCUUUAUUAAUUGUUUGGAAGUUAUCUUUUUAUGCUGUUCUUGCGCAAAACAAUAUGGUGUGAAAAUGUUUAAAUAAGUAAUAGUAGCACUUUUUGUUGUUUCUCAGUACUUGCCCGUCUGUUUAUUAAAAACAUUUCCAUAUGUUACUUUAUAUGGUAGUACCUGCUCUAUGUUUAUAUAAAUGGCCGCAGUAUCUUGACUGUGCGAAGGUAGCAUAAUUAAUUGCCUUAUAAUUGAGGGCUUGUCUGAAUGGUUUGACGAGGUAAGAGGUAGACAUCAGGAGUUUAUUUGAAAUUACUGCAGAGGGCACAGAAGCCUCUGCUAUUAAUUAGACGGAAAGACCCCGGGAUCUUUCUUUUUUGCUUGGGGCAAGUUAGGGUGUUUCACUCUUAUUAGGACCCUCUUAGGUUUAAUGAGAUAAGUUACCCCGGGGAUAACAGUGUAAUAACUUAUUAGAGAUCUUAUCGACUAAGUUGUUUGUUACCUCGAUGUUGACUUAGGUUAUAAUUUGGGCGCAGUAGUUUAAAUUUUAGGUCUGUUCGACCUUGUAGCCUCCAUGAGUUGAGUUAAGACCGGCGCGAGCCAGGUCGGUUCUUAUCUAUUUACGUGAUCUAUUAGUACGAAAGGAUUGUAGGUCGUUUUAUU
rnacentral:rRNA from 1 species